UACGGAGGGGGCUAGCGUUGUUCGGAAUUACUGGGCGUAAAGCGCACGUAGGCGGCUUUGCAAGUCAGAGGUGAAAGCCCGAGGCUCAACCCCGGAAUUGCCUUUGAGACUGCAUCGCUAGAACGUCGGAGAGGUAAGUGGAAUUCCGAGUGUAGAGGUGAAAUUCGUAGAUAUUCGGAAGAACACCAGUGGCGAAGGCGACUUACUGGACGACUGUUGACGCUGAGGUGCGAAAGCGUGGGGAGCAAACAGG
rnacentral:rRNA from 1 species